UACGGAGGGUGCAAGCGUUAUCCGGAUUCACUGGGUUUAAAGGGUGCGUAGGUGGGCAGGUAAGUCAGUGGUGAAAUCCCGGAGCUCAACUUCGGAAUUGCCUCCGAUACUGCCGUGCUUGAGGACUGGAGAGGAGUCUGGAAUUCACAGUGGAGCAGUGAAAUGCGUAGAUAUUGUGAGGAACACUAGUGGCGAAGGCGAGACUCUGGACAGUUCCUGACGCUGAGGCACGAAGGCCAGGGGAGCAAACGGG
rnacentral:rRNA from 1 species